ncrna:unclassified sequences eL15-Euryarchaeota ribosomal protein leader
GCGGAUAGAAAUCCGCUGGGAUGUAACCGUUUGGUUGAACCAUAAA